CGUACCUACUCGUACUCGCCCACGACUGCCAUCAUUUACACCACGACCCAGCUACCCCAUCCACGCCGAGCCAAUCCAGAUUUCAAUUUUUGAAUCGCGUCCGGAAGACGCUCCUCAUCGCCGUGAACCACUCCGGUCGGCCAACGCAGUACCGCGCACCCCCGCCGGCCAACGCAGUACCCACGAUGGAGCCAACGGAUCUUGAACCGGAGUCACUCACAGAUCUGCUGUUCAGCUUUUGUUCGGCGCCGCCCGCUGCGGUGUGCGUCCCAGAUACGGGAUGGACCGAGGAUGAAGACGACGGGGAGCAUGUCUUAUCUCCAAUAAGCACCUCCUUCCCCAAGCGAAGACGGAGGAAAUCUUCGGCUACUGAUUAAAAAUCCGAAGUUUCACGGUCCAAUCCAAUUUUUUCCACCGUCCCAGAUAUUGAUUCCAAGGACACCACUGCCAGCCACAGUUCGCCCUCGCCUGAAUCGCCACACACUCCUGCUCCAGGCCGGGAAGUGUCUGACAUGGCAAGAUACCAGACUGCUGUGCCACAUUACCAGGAAGGAGAAGUGCUUUGGACAAGGCCAUGAGAAAUUAUGCGGAUAGGGAGUUAGAGUGCGUCAUAAAUCCAGAGAUCAGCCAAGAGUUCGAUUCUUUGGCUGAAGCUUACGACUCCUACGACCUGUACUCUUGGGAAACAGGAUUUGGUAUUAAGUAUGGUCAAUGCCAAAGAAACAUACAGGGAUGCA